GGGGUGAGCGAGCAUCUUUCUCCUUCUCCCUGAGUCUGGAGGGCAAAUCACAAAAAGGGAAAAUUUAAGGAAAUAGAACACUGGGAGAGGAGGGAAUGAAAAGUCUGUGGAGCCGGAACUUUGUAGGACAAGAGCUGUGUGUUCCUCCUUCGGGACAGCUUGUUUUUCUGAAAGUCCUUGCCGAGGCUGCACGUGCUGUUCACAAGGACAUCGUUUGGCAAAAACAAAGAUCAGGAAACCCCUUGUACCGUACUCGUGACUGUUAAAAUGAAUCCAAACUGAUGGCAUUUCGGGGAAAAUACUUCCAGCAGGGAGCAUGAGCAGAACCAGCUGAGAAAUAAUCCCCUCCAAUCCUCUCCUUGAUCACCUACACCGCCCUUCUUCCAUCCCAGCCAGCUACCACGCACACACCACACACACAUAUUAAAGAUGGGCCUCUCAAACACCACAGAUAAUAGAAGAACAGGGUGGAAACUGGACAUGUGGACAGGGUAAAUUCAAUAAACUUUCCUCAGUAUUGCAGCCGGAUGGUUGAGUCUCAUUACAAGACAGUUUAAAUGUGUUUUUUGUUGGUCUGAAAUGUUCCACCCAGACAUGUUUCUUCCUGCUAUUUGUCUGUUGUUAUAGUUGUAUUCCAUGGAUUUCUUUGUUUUUGUCUUUAAAGCUCCACUAAUUUAUAUUUCCAUAAUACCACUUAAUGAAAUUACUACAUGUAAUAUGAGAGUGGUCUCUUGCAGUGAUGGUAAGCUUAUCAAAAUUGACCAAAUAAGAUUUGUUCCAGGAUCAGUGAUACAACGUACAUAUAAAUAUCACAGUCCUGGUU